AUUGAACGCUGGCGGCAGGCCUAACACAUGCAAGUCGAACGGUAACAGGAAGCAGCUUGCUGCUUCGCUGACGAGUGGCGGACGGGUGAGUAAUGUCUGGGAAGCUGCCUGAUGGAGGGGGAUAACUACUGGAAACGGUAGCUAAUACCGCAUAAUGUCGCAAGACCAAAGAGGGGGACCUUCGGGCCUCUUGCCAUCGGAUGUGCCCAGAUGGGAUUAGCGUGUUGGUGGGGUAACGGCUCACCAAGGCGACGAUCCCUAGCUGGUCUGAGAGGAUGACCAGCCACCCUGGAACUGAGACACGGUCCAGACUCCUACGGGAGGCAGCAGUGGGGAAUAUUGCACAAUGGGCGCAAGCCUGAUGCAGCCAUGCCGCGUGUAUGAAGAAGGCCUUCGGGUUGUAAAGUACUUUCAGCGGGGAGGAAGGGAGUAAAGUUAAUACCUUUGCUCAUUGACGUUACCCGCAGAAGAAGCACCGGCUAACUCCGUG
rnacentral:rRNA from 1 species